rnacentral:rRNA from 1 species
UGCGAGCGUUAAUCGGAAUUACUGGGCGUAAAGCGCACGUAGGCGGCUUCUUAAGUCGGUGGUGAAAUCCUGGAGCUCAACUCCAGAACUGCCUUCGAUACUGGGAAGCUCGAGUCCGGGAGAGGUGAGUGGAACUGCGAGUGUAGAGGUGAAAUUCGUAGAUAUUCGCAAGAACACCAGUGGCGAAGGCGGCUCACUGGCCCGGUACUGACGCUGAGGUGCGAAAGCGUGGGGAGCAAACAGG